AGUGAACGCUGGCGGUAGGCCUAACACAUGCAAGUCGAACGGCAGCACAGUAAGAGCUUGCUCUUACGGGUGGCGAGUGGCGGACGGGUGAGGGAUACAUCGGAAUCUACUUUUUCGUGGGGGAUAACGUAGGGAAACUUACGCUAAUACCGCAUACGACCUACGGGUGAAAGCAGGGGAUCUUCGGACCUUGCGCGAUUGAAUGAGCCGAUGUCGGAUUAGCUAGUUGGCGGGGUAAAGGCCCACCAAGGCGACGAUCCGUAGCUGGUCUGAGAGGAUGAUCAGCCACACUGGAACUGAGACACGGUCCAGACUCCUACGGGAGGCAGCAGUGGGGAAUAUUGGACAAUGGGCGCAAGCCUGAUCCAGCCAUACCGCGUGGGUGAAGAAGGCCUUCGGGUUGUAAAGCCCUUUUGUUGGGAAAGAAAAGCAGCAGGUUAAUACCCCGCUGUUCUGACGGUACCCAAAGAAUAAGCACCGGCUAACUUCAUG
rnacentral:rRNA from 1 species